GAAUGCGUUGCAGAUUUUAGAGUUUUGCAGAGUGUUUGGAAAGUCUCUUGAUCUCAAGAAAGGAGAAGCUGAAGCCAUUUUUAAAGAAUAUUGAUCAGUAAAGAAUGUAUGGAUGAACACAUUAGAUUGUUGGCAUUGAUCGUAAACAGUUCGAAAAAGGAGUGGGUUAUCCCUUACAACUCUUGUUUGAAGUUUUCUUAGUGAUUAAAUUUUUUUGAGAUGCUUGAAUUAAAGUUUUCAUAUGGAUGAUUUUGGUGUAGGUUUCCAUCCUUGUCAUGAAACUAAUUCAUGGUUGAAACAUUUAGAGGAUUUGAUUAUGCAAUCACAUCACCCUCUAAAUUAUUUCUCUUGGAUUGAUUUCAAGAAGGGAUCAAUGAACUAUAAAUUGAAUUUGUCUAAGAAAUUUAAACUGAUGACUCUUUGUGACAAAGCUUUGAACACUGAGUAAGUAUUUCAAGUGCUCUGUUAAAAAAUAUUCCUUUUUGUGUAUUCUUCUUUUGUUUUAUUACUUGUUUAAUAUGCCCAGAAAACUAAGGAGCUAUAUUCAGUACGAAAAUUCGUGACAUGCAAAAGUAGUGAAAGAAGAAAAACUUAAGAUUGAUGCAGCUAAGGAAAAGGUAAAGUCUCUUGCACAGAACAAGUUGCAGAGAAGAUCAAAGUAUCUCCAUUCCGAUUGAGGAGCAUGAUGCUCUAAGAUAAGAACUGAGGUUGACGAAACACAGACUUAGAUGUUAAGGUUAAAGAGCACAAGUGAAAAAUGUAUGUCAUGAUUAAUUGAUUAUGAAUUAUAUAUUGGCUAAAGUCCUCCACUUUCAUUUUUUAGGUCAAAAUAUUUUGGUGUGGAACAAAUAUCCAUGGUUCAAAGUUAUCAAGUUGUAAAUCUUUAUAUGGUGGCCAUUUUUAUCAAACUUAGAGUAGGUUCCUCCUUUGUUUUUAGACUCAAGAGACCUUCAUUAUCGUAAUCAUUGUAUAUAAUUCUUUUUAUAUUUUAUUUUAGUGGAAUACGAACUGAAAUAAUUUUUUGUAAUUUAA